rnacentral:rRNA from 1 species
UACGGAGGAUCCGAGCGUUAUCCGGAUUUAUUGGGUUUAAAGGGUGCGUAGGCGGCCUGUUAAGUCAGGGGUGAAAGACGGUAGCUCAACUAUCGCAGUGCCCUUGAUACUGAUGGGCUUGAAUGUACUAGAGGUAGGCGGAAUGUGACAAGUAGCGGUGAAAUGCUUAGAGAUGACAUAGAACACCUAUUGCGAAGGCAGCUUACUACGCCUAUAUUGACGCUGAGGCACGAAAGCGUGGGGAUCAAACAGG